CGAAGGGGGCAAGCGUUGUUCGGAUUUACUGGGCGUAAAGGGCGCGUAGGCGGCGCAGCAAGUCGCGUGUGAAAGCCCCGGGCUCAACCUGGGAAUGGCGCGCGAUACUGCUGUGCUGGAGUUCGGGAGAGGAGCGUGGAAUUCCCAGUGUAGAGGUGAAAUUCGUAGAUAUUGGGAAGAACACCGGUGGCGAAGGCGGCGCUCUGGACCGAUACUGACGCUGAGGCGCGAAGGCGUGGGGAGCAAACAGGAUUAGAUACCCUGGUAGUCCACGCGGUAAACGAUGUGUGCUAGACGUUGGGGAGCCUAGCUCUUCGGUGUCGCAGCAAACGCUUUAAGCACACCGCCUGGGGAGUACGGCCGCAAGGUUA
rnacentral:rRNA from 1 species